rnacentral:rRNA from 1 species
UACAGAGGGUGCAAGCGUUGUUCGGAAUUACUGGGCGUAAAGAGCUCGUAGGCGGCCAACUAAGUCGGAUGUGAAAUCCCCAGGCUUAACCUGGGAACUGCAUCCGAUACUGGAUGGCUUGAAUCCGGGAGAGGGAUGCAGAAUUCCAGGUGUAGCGGUGAAAUGCGUAGAUAUCUGGAGGAAUACCGGUGGCGAAGGCGGCAUCCUGGACCGGCAUUGACGCUGAGGAGCGAAAGCUAGGGGAGCAAACGGG